AGAAAACUUUGAAGAGGAGAAUUUUGCACAAAAUCGCAGGAGAAGUGCAAAUACUAACAAUGAAGAGAAUGAUGAUUCUGCAGAAUCAAAUAAUCAUCGAGUGCAAAGUGAUGAUGUAAUACUAAAUGAAUCUCGACAAGAAGCUGAUAAUUCUCAAAGGAAGAAAAAUCCACCUCGUGGUAGUAAUAAGUGUCUAAAGUUGAAUAAUUUGUCACAUGG